UCCCUGUUGGCUCAGUUGGUAAAGAGUCUGCCUGCUGUGCAGAACCCACUGAAACCUGGGUUCAAUCCCUGGAUCAGGAA
rnacentral:tRNA from 1 species